CACGUAGGGCGCAAGCGUUGUCCGGAAUUAUUGGGCGUAAAGGGCGCGUAGGCGGCUUGGCAAGUGGAAGGUGAAAUCCCUCGGCUUAACCGAGGAACUGCCCUCCAAACUGCUUUGCUUGAGGCCGGGAGAGGCGAGUGGAAUUUCCAGUGUAGCGGUGAAAUGCGUAGAUAUUGGGAGGAACACCAGUGGCGAAGGCGGCUCGCUGGACCGGUUCUGACGCUGAGGCGCGAAAGCGUGGGGAGCAAACGGG
rnacentral:rRNA from 1 species